GGUUAAGCGACUAAGCGUACACGGUGGAUGCCCUGGCAGUCAGAGGCGAUGAAGGACGUGCUAAUCUGCGAUAAGCGUCGGUAAGGUGAUAUGAACCGUUAUAACCGGCGAUUUCCGAAUGGGGAAACCCAGUGUGUUUCGACACACUAUCAUUAACUGAAUCCAUAGGUUAAUGAGGCGAACCGGGGGAACUGAAACAUCUAAGUACCCCGAGGAAAAGAAAUCAACCGAGAUUCCCCCAGUAGCGGCGAGCGAACGGGGAGCAGCCCAGAGCCUGAAUCAGUGUGUGUGUUAGUGGAAGCGUCUGGAAAGGCGCGCGAUACAGGGUGACAGCCCCGUACACAAAAAUGCACAUGCUGUGAGCUCGAUGAGUAGGGCGGGACACGUGGUAUCCUGUCUGAAUAUGGGGGGACCAUCCUCCAAGGCUAAAUACUCCUGACUGACCGAUAGUGAACCAGUACCGUGAGGGAAAGGCGAAAAGAACCCCGGCGAGGGGAGUGAAAAAGAACCUGAAACCGUGUACGUACAAGCAGUGGGAGCACGCUUAGGCGUGUGACUGCGUACCUUUUGUAUAAUGGGUCAGCGACUUAUAUUCUGUAGCAAGGUUAACCGAAUAGGGGAGCCGAAGGGAAACCGAGUCUUAACUGGGCGUUAAGUUGCAGGGUAUAGACCCGAAACCCGGUGAUCUAGCCAUGGGCAGGUUGAAGGUUGGGUAACACUAACUGGAGGACCGAACCGACUAAUGUUGAAAAAUUAGCGGAUGACUUGUGGCUGGGGGUGAAAGGCCAAUCAAACCGGGAGAUAGCUGGUUCUCCCCGAAAGCUAUUUAGGUAGCGCCUCGUGAAUUCAUCUCCGGGGGUAGAGCACUGUUUCGGCAAGGGGGUCAUCCCGACUUACCAACCCGAUGCAAACUGCGAAUACCGGAGAAUGUUAUCACGGGAGACACACGGCGGGUGCUAACGUCCGUCGUGAAGAGGGAAACAACCCAGACCGCCAGCUAAGGUCCCAAAGUCAUGGUUAAGUGGGAAACGAUGUGGGAAGGCCCAGACAGCCAGGAUGUUGGCUUAGAAGCAGCCAUCAUUUAAAGAAAGCGUAAUAGCUCACUGGUCGAGUCGGCCUGCGCGGAAGAUGUAACGGGGCUAAACCAUGCACCGAAGCUGCGGCAGCGACGCUGAUGCGUUGUUGGGUAGGGGAGCGUUCUGUAAGCCUGCGAAGGUGUGCUGUGAGGCAUGCUGGAGGUAUCAGAAGUGCGAAUGCUGACAUAAGUAACGAUAAAGCGGGUGAAAAGCCCGCUCGCCGGAAGACCAAGGGUUCCUGUCCAACGUUAAUCGGGGCAGGGUGAGUCGACCCCUAAGGCGAGGCCGAAAGGCGUAGUCGAUGGGAAACAGGUUAAUAUUCCUGUACUUGGUGUUACUGCGAAGGGGGGACGGAGAAGGCUAUGUUGGCCGGGCGACGGUUGUCCCGGUUUAAGCGUGUAGGCUGGUUUUCCAGGCAAAUCCGGAAAAUCAAGGCUGAGGCGUGAUGACGAGGCACUACGGUGCUGAAGCAACAAAUGCCCUGCUUCCAGGAAAAGCCUCUAAGCAUCAGGUAACAUCAAAUCGUACCCCAAACCGACACAGGUGGUCAGGUAGAGAAUACCAAGGCGCUUGAGAGAACUCGGGUGAAGGAACUAGGCAAAAUGGUGCCGUAACUUCGGGAGAAGGCACGCUGAUAUGUAGGUGAGGUCCCUCGCGGAUGGAGCUGAAAUCAGUCGAAGAUACCAGCUGGCUGCAACUGUUUAUUAAAAACACAGCACUGUGCAAACACGAAAGUGGACGUAUACGGUGUGACGCCUGCCCGGUGCCGGAAGGUUAAUUGAUGGGGUUAGCGCAAGCGAAGCUCUUGAUCGAAGCCCCGGUAAACGGCGGCCGUAACUAUAACGGUCCUAAGGUAGCGAAAUUCCUUGUCGGGUAAGUUCCGACCUGCACGAAUGGCGUAAUGAUGGCCAGGCUGUCUCCACCCGAGACUCAGUGAAAUUGAACUCGCUGUGAAGAUGCAGUGUACCCGCGGCAAGACGGAAAGACCCCGUGAACCUUUACUAUAGCUUGACACUGAACAUUGAGCCUUGAUGUGUAGGAUAGGUGGGAGGCUUAGAAGUGUGGACGCCAGUCUGCAUGGAGCCGACCUUGAAAUACCACCCUUUAAUGUUUGAUGUUCUAACGUUGACCCGUAAUCCGGGUUGCGGACAGUGUCUGGUGGGUAGUUUGACUGGGGCGGUCUCCUCCUAAAGAGUAACGGAGGAGCACGAAGGUUGGCUAAUCCUGGUCGGACAUCAGGAGGUUAGUGCAAUGGCAUAAGCCAGCUUGACUGCGAGCGUGACGGCGCGAGCAGGUGCGAAAGCAGGUCAUAGUGAUCCGGUGGUUCUGAAUGGAAGGGCCAUCGCUCAACGGAUAAAAGGUACUCCGGGGAUAACAGGCUGAUACCGCCCAAGAGUUCAUAUCGACGGCGGUGUUUGGCACCUCGAUGUCGGCUCAUCACAUCCUGGGGCUGAAGUAGGUCCCAAGGGUAUGGCUGUUCGCCAUUUAAAGUGGUACGCGAGCUGGGUUUAGAACGUCGUGAGACAGUUCGGUCCCUAUCUGCCGUGGGCGCUGGAGAACUGAGGGGGGCUGCUCCUAGUACGAGAGGACCGGAGUGGACGCAUCACUGGUGUUCGGGUUGUCAUGCCAAUGGCACUGCCCGGUAGCUAAAUGCGGAAGAGAUAAGUGCUGAAAGCAUCUAAGCACGAAACUUGCCCCGAGAUGAGUUCUCCCUGACCCUUUAAGGGUCCUGAAGGAACGUUGAAGACGACGACGUUGAUAGGCCGGGUGUGUAAGCGCAGCGAUGCGUUGAGCUAACCGGUACUAAUGAACCGUGAGGCUUAACCUUACAACGCCGAAGCUGUUUUG
rnacentral:rRNA from 1 species